rnacentral:rRNA from 1 species
AUUGAACGCUGGCGGCAUGCUUUACACAUGCAAGUCGAACGGCAGCGCGGGCUUCGGCCUGGCUGCUCGUGGCGAACGGGUGAGUAAUGCAUCUGAACGUGCCCAGUAUUGGGGGAUAGCCCGGCGAAAGCCGGAUUAAUACCACCUACUACCUGAUGGUGAAACCGGGGGACCGAAAGGCCUCUCGCUCUUUGAGCGGCCGAUGUCGGAUUAGCUAGUUGGUGGGGUAAAGGCUUACCAAGGCGACGAUCCGUAGCUGGUCUGAGAGGACGACCAGCCACACUGGGACUGAGACACGGCCCAGACUCCUACGGGAGGCAGCAGAGGGGAAUGUUGGACAAUGGGGGCAACCCUGAUCCAGCCAUGCCGAGUGCGGGAAGAAGGCCUUCGGGUUGUAAACCGCUUUUGUUCGGGAAGAAAUCCUCUGGGCUAAUACCACGGGGGGAUGACGGUACCGGAAGAAUAAGCACCGGCUAACUACGUG